rnacentral:lncRNA from 1 species
CAAUUACAAGUACUGUAAGUUAGACAUUUAGCCAAAGCACAAUUACAGGUUAAAUAUAAUCAUAAAGAUGUCUUAAAUAGAAACCCACCAUGCAGGCAGGUUGAGUUCCUUGACGCUCUCUUUUGGAAAGAAGAGGGUGAGGGGGAAGAAAAGGUCCUCCAAUCCAUGUGAGAGUGAAGUCUAGAAGAAUUUACAUGCUGUAAGCAAUUUCCUACAACCAAAUCAACGGAAAUACUCUUGAUUUCCUCAAAGCUGGUUUUGUAAAUGUUUUUGAGAAACCUUGAUAUAAGUACCUUUUAGUCUGUAGGUA